rnacentral:rRNA from 1 species
UACAGAGGGUGCGAGCGUUGUCCGGAAUCACUGGGCGUAAAGGGCGCGUAGGCGGCCUGGUAAGCGUGCGGUGAAAGCCCGGGGCUCAACCCCGGGUCGGCCGUGCGAACUGCGAGGCUGGAGCACUGUAGAGGCAGGUGGAAUUCCGGGUGUAGCGGUGGAAUGCGUAGAGAUCCGGAAGAACACCGGUGGCGAAGGCGGCCUGCUGGGCAGUGGCUGACGCUGAGGCGCGACAGCGUGGGGAGCAAACGGG